rnacentral:rRNA from 1 species
GAUGAACGCUGGCGGCGUGCCUAAUACAUGCAAGUCGAGCGAACAGACGAGGAGCUUGCUCCUCUGACGUUAGCGGCGGACGGGUUAGUAACACGUGGAUAACCUACCUAUAAGACUGGGAUAACUUCGGGAAACCGGAGCUAAUACCGGAUAAUAUAUUGAACCGCAUGGUUCAAUAGUGAAAGACGGUUUUGCUGUCACUUAUAGAUGGAUCCGCGCCGCAUUAGCUAGUUGGUAAGGUAACGGCUUACCAAGGCAACGAUGCGUAGCCGACCUGAGAGGGUGAUCGGCCACACUGGAACUGAGCCACGGACCAGACUCCUACGGGACGCAGCAGUCGGGAAUCUUCCGCAGUGGGCGAAAGCCUGACGGAGCAACGGCGCGUGAGUGAUGAAGGUCUUCGGAUCGUAAAACUCUGUUACUGGGGAAGAACAAAUGUGUACGUAACUAUGCACGUCUUGACGGUACCUGAUCAGAAAGCCACGGCUAACUACGUG